UGGGGGAUAUUGCACAAAUGGGGGGAAACCCUGAUGCAGCAACGCCGCGUGAAGGAAGAAGGUCUUCGGAUUGUAAACUUUUGUCCUCAGGGAAGAUAAUGACGGUACCUGAGGAGGAAGCUCCGGCUAACUACGUGCCAGCAGCCGCGGUAAUACGUAGGGAGCGAGCGUUGUCCGGAUUUACUGGGUGUAAAGGGUGCGUAGGCGGAUUUUCAAGUCAGUAGUGAAAUGCAGGGGCUUAACCCCUGAGCUGCUAUUGAAACUGAGAGUCUUGAGUGGAGUAGAGGCAGGCGGAAUUCCCGGUGUAGCGGUGAAAUGCGUAGAGAUCGGAGGACAC
rnacentral:rRNA from 1 species